UACGGAGGAGGCGAGCGUUAUCCGGAUUUAUUGGGCGUAAAGCGCCCGCAGGCGGUUGGUCAAGUCUGCUGUCAAAGCGCGAAGCUUAACUUCGUUUGGGCAGUGGAAACUGAUGAGCUAGAGGGUGAUAGGGGCAAAGGGAAUUCCUAGUGUAGCGGUGAAAUGCGUAGAGAUUAGGAAGAACACCGGUGGCGAAAGCGCCCUGCUGGGUCACACCUGACACUGAGGGGCGAAAGCGUGGGGAGCGAAAGGG
rnacentral:rRNA from 1 species